UCCUUUCACGAGCCAUCCUGCACCAUCGCCACUGUCCUGACAGCUAGGUUAACAUCAGCCCUGAAUUUUGUUCUACAACCUCCACGAAGAAACCAUCGAAGUAAUGGAGGUUCCAGCACACAGAGACCAGGCAGUGCAGGUCGACUCCCGCGUCCCUGUUCAGGAGCAUCAAACGAGGGCGGUGGUUGUGGCAUUCGUUCUGUCUCUCAGUUGCUCUGCCCUCCUGUUUCUCGUCACUGUCGUCUCCCUUAAGUCUCCCGCCGUGCAACGUUCAUUGUGGAACGUACAGCAGGCAGACGACAUCAACACUACGAGCGUCACUUCUGAUUCCAAUGUCACUGCUGAGCCUGUCGUGGAACCACGUUUCGUUCCCGAGGAGUACCUACUGCACUAAGGUCUUCGUAAAACAUCGUGAAGCUAAUAUUGCCAUUGCCGUCGAAUUUUUUCGCAACUUUGCUAGAGCCCAUAAUGUACCAUUAUUGUGCAUUUUUUUAAGUCCAGUUACAGAGCUAAUGAAUAAAUGGUAUUAUUGGUGGUGAA